rnacentral:lncRNA from 1 species
AAGAAGCUUCCUAAAAAGCCAAGAAAUUCAAACCCUUUUACUUUUUGUAGUUCAUAAUAUUAUUUUGUCUUAGUAUUGCAAUUGCAAGUAUGUAUUAUGGUAUAUAACUAUAUACCAAGCAAGUUGUCUGAGUCUACAAGAACAAGUUGUUUGACACAGUAGCACAAGAUUGUGUUAAAUUACAAAAAGGGUAAAACAGUGUGAUCCAUGCCAUUUUGUUCAGUUAGUCCCCACACGACAAAACAAUCUUCACCAUUGAAACAUAAUCUAUUGGAG